UAGUUGGCCAUCCGGGCUGCCAGCGCACGCUGCUGGCUCAUGUCCAGCUUCUUGUCCACCAGGACCCCCAAGCCCUUCUCAACAGGGCUGCUCUCAAGGAUUUCUAACCCCCGUUUGUAUAAAUACCCGGGAUUGCCGCGGCCCAAGUGCAGCACCUUGCGCUUGCCUUGUUGAACCUCGUUAGCUUCACAUGGGCCCACUUCUCCAGCCUGUCCAGGUCCCUCUGGAUGGCUUCCCAUCCCUCCAAUGUAUCAACCAAACUCAGUUUGGUGGUGUCUGCAAACUUGCUGAGGGUGCACUCGAUUCCAUCUCGGCCAAUUAGAGAGCACUCUGGCAUCCCGCCCAUUUCAGCUCGAUGAAUCAGAGAGCACUGCCAUAUCCCACCCCCUUCAGUGCAACCAAUCAGAGUGCAGUGCCACAUCCCGCCCCUUUUCAGUCCAUUCACUAAUAGUGUGGUAUAGUUUCCCCCUCUUUUCAGCUCUACCAAUCAGAAUGGAUUGUCAGACAAUGCCCGCCUUAAGCCCUACAAAUGAGAGUGCAGCACAGCUUCCCGCCCUUGCCAGCCCAACCAGAGUGUGGCAUUGCUUCUUGCUCUUUCCAGCUGAUCCAAUCAGAGAGCAGCACAGCUUCUGGGGCAUUUCAGCCCUGCCUUUCAGUAUGCUUUGUCACAUCCCGUCCUUUUAAGCCCAUGAUAGAAUGACACCAUCAAUUUGAUGAUUUGUUAUUAUCUUUAACAGAUAUUCAUAAGCACUUAGCACAGGUUUCAUGGGCUUGGAGAAGUUUUCCUUGGUUUUCUUUUUUCUUUUCUUUCUUCUUCUUCUUUUUUUUUUUUUUAAUCUUUUCCCUCUCCUGUUCUAAUGUUGUGUGCUUCUCAAAAAAUCUCGGGCUGCUGAGGCCAGGUACAGAAGCUGUUACUACUGUGCUUUUUCUAAAAGUUGCUCAGCUGUUUUGUGUUGCUCUGUUAAGUGUUCUGAACCACCCUUGGCUUCACUGCACGCAACUGUCCAAUUGAUACCAGCUUUUUUAAUCACCUCAGAUGCUGGCAAAAAAAUAAAUAAAAAGCAUGGCACCAUCAAUUCGAUGAUGAUUAUUAUUUUUUUAAGAGAUAUUCAUAAGCAUUUAGCACAGGUUUCUUGGGCUUGGAGGUGUUUUCCUUGGUUUUUCUUCGCUUUUUUUUUCCCCCCUCCUUUCUUUUUCCGAUUCUUGUUCUAACGUUGUGUUCUUGUCCUGUUCUGAGUACUCUGCUAUGCCUGACGGUAGACGGGGUGGACUUGGGAGGCCUCCAGGGUACACUGUGAGGCAGUGAGGGUGCCCUAGGUUGCCCCAGGGAGUCUGGGAGUAGGUUAGGGUGUGCCAGAGUUAAGCGGGGGUUCUAGGAGUACUCUGGGGCACACUGGAAAGCCUCUACAUGCCCUAGAGAAUAAUGAGCAGCUCUGGGAGUUCUCUACGGUCCCCUAGCGUAUGCUCGGUAAACCUGGGAUUCCUGUUUGGUCUGUGGAGAGCACUGGGGGUUCGUGGGACUUUUCUAGGAUACCCUAGAGUAUGCUGAGGAUCUUCUAGGAUGUCCUGAAACUCACUGGACAUCUCCAGGAAUCUUGUACGGUGCCUGGAAUACACCAGGGAGCCUUAGGAUUCCUCUCGGUCACAGUGGGAAGCCUCUAGCGUGCCCUAGAACACACAGGCAAUCUCUGGGAGUUCUCCAGCAUGCCAUCGUAUGUAGUGGAUGUACGUCUGGAUAUGUCUGUUGCAUGUAACUCAGUGGGAACACAGUGGCCGGCCAGCAAAGUCAGGCUUUGGGGCACUGCAGAAAAUAUGUUUUUCUAUAACGUGCCCCAUAGCAUCCGAUUGGCUUAUCGCCACCAGCGGAUUAACCAGUGGAUUGCCAGGUUUCCCAACAACUCUUCCCAAAGCAACCCCCUGCUUCCCAAAGUGCUCCAGGAGCUGCUGAACGUGCAGCUUUCCCACUCAUCAAAACCUGUUACCCGACACCUAAGCUCUGUGGUGUCACAGAGCCUCACAGGCACCUGGAAUCUCACUCGUUAUUGUGCUUCAGGGCACCUGUCCUUUUCUUCUUGCUUUUCCCUUGCUAUUUCUGGAUGUUUUCUUUGCUUUGUUCUUUUAUUCCCAUUGUCUUCCUCUACCUUGUUUAGGCACUGCGCUUUCUUCCAGGAUAUCUGGUCUUCUGGGGGAGGAUGGGGUUUGUCUCUCAGAGAAGGUGAAGACAAUCGUUGGCAGCAAGCUUUCCAGUUUAAUCGGGUGGGUUGCAAACUAGAGUUGCCGGUGGAGGCGUCAUGGAAGGAGACUAAAGCACUGCACAUUUCACUUGUAAGAGGAAGGUGAAAGAUAUUUACUGAUUCUAAACUGACAUAAGAUAGUAAUUUGAACAAUGAUAACAGCAACUUCACAAGAUUUGAAAUGGCUUGAUAUCCUUGACUACUCCUUACAUAGAAGGUAGAGGCGUGCAUAAUGAAUCUCAGAUCAAAUCUUAGCCAAGCUAGUAUAGCUUAAAAACAGUAAAUUGCUUACCCAGGAUCUGUCGGCAAGGUGUCACCACGUCCCAGGUGAAUCUCUGUGCAGCUUAAGAGGUGUCCCUACUCAAGGGGAAAUUCUGGUGUGUAACUAGCUGCUUACAAGAGGAACUCUCUGAGAGGUUCUAAUGGAUAAAGUAUAGCCCCACUGCGAUUGAAUCCCAGUUGCAAAAUGAGUAGAUUAUACACAUUUCUCACUGGAGAGCCAUAAGCUGACCCUGGUAGUUUGACAAACAGCACUCGCUCCAUUCACACCGGUAAUCUCAGCCCUUUUGCUGUCCAGGCUGCCCACGCAGAUUCUCAGCAUCUUGCUGUGUAAGUAUUGCAAAGUAUUGACUUUGAGGACCAACCGGAAUCAAAAGAUUUGAGCUGUCAUAGCUUACCCAUUGAUAAACCUCCCCUUGCUGGACAGGCAGAACCAAUUGCCUGUUGGCCAUUGUUUGUUCUUUCUUGCUUUGCUUUGCUUCAUGCCUGUAUGGGAACUGCUAGGUCAGGGCCUGAACUGGUGACUGAGCACCUGCUGAGGGGUGUAGCCAGCCCUGAGAGCACAGGUGGAAGCAAUUCACCUGUGGGAGUGGACAAGGGUGGAGCCUGGCUUCAUCCCCCCAGCCUCAUUUAAGGGCAGGCAGCUGAAGGGGAAGCGUUUCUACCUGGAAGCUGCUUCCAUUGUUGUGUUGGGUGAGUCCUGAUUCUUGGAAAGGGGUAAGUGGUUCUUUCUGUAAUACCAGAUUAUGGCCUCUGUCUUUCUCGAGUUAUCUGAAACUGGCUUACAGCAGCUGUAUCUACUAUUGCCUAUCCUUAAAAUACCCUUCAAUUCUUUUCUAAGGGAGAUUAAUGGAUUAUAUCCCUUUCUUUGAAGUGGUGUUAAUGGUGCUUAUGUAAGUUCCUUUCUUUCACUACUACCUCAUUUCUGGAAUGCUUCAGUCAGACUCAAGAUAAUACUAGAAGGCUGACUAUAUAUUACGGCUAUAGGAAUGCCUUGAGCGAAUCCCCUAUUCCUUAAAGGGGUUCUGCAUUCUUGAGAUUCUAUGUACACCACUUCACAUUUCUUUUCUUUUGGUUGAGUCUCUGUUCUCUCUUUCAUGGGCCUACCUUUAUGAUCUCCCCCAGGGAAUUGAAGCUUUUUAUGCUAGCAUACUGUCCCAACAGAUUUAACAACUGUAGUUACUGAUGCUGUGCGUAAAUCCUGCCCCAGCAGGGAGUUGUUGAAGGGUAUUCUGUGCAUCCUUUUCAUGUACUGAAUUAUGUUCUGUGUCUCUUUUGAUCUCAUUCUGUUUUGCAGCUAAGUUGGUGUAUGAGAACUGCUGAGUCAUGGCCUGAACCACUGAUUGAGCACCUGGAGGAAAGACCCAGUCAGCCCGCGGAGCACACGUGAAGGCAAUUCAGUUGUGUGAUAGGAAGGGGUGGUGCCUGGCUUCACCCCUCUUUAGCCUCAUUUAAGGACUGACUGCCACUGAGGAAGGAUGUCUUUCUAGAGAUUGCUCCUUGGUGGAAGCUUUUCCCUGUGAACCCAGAAUCUUCUGAUACAGCUGUGGGACCUGACAGCUUGAAGAAUUGAGGCCUCUGGUCCACUGCAUGCUGGGACUGGCACAAAGAAGCUCUGUGACUAGAACAUCCUGGGGAUUGUACCAACAGGUGAACUCAGUGGCAGCAGAGAACUGCAGUGCUCCUAGACAGUGCAAGAACUGCACAGAGCAAUUUGUGGCUUUUCAUGAAGUCAGCAAGAAAGGGAAAGCUGCAUUUCUUGGAAUGCCCUGGAACAUGACUUUGCUGACUGGUAACUUGUUACCUGUGCGGGAAAGGGCAAUGUACACCCACCAGUGUUUACUCAUUACAUAGUGUGGCUCAACCUAGUGCUCCCAGUGCUUGUAACUGUGCUUUAGGGUAUCCUACAGGCUGCCUGUCCUUCUCCUACACUCUCCUUGUCUCUGGCCUUUCCCUGCGGUGUUCUCCUUGCCUUUGCCUUGGCUUUCUCUGGCUAUUUUUGUUGCCCUUGGCUGGGCCUUCCGUGUGGUGUUAUUCCUGCCAUUGCCUUAGUUUUGGUUUUCCCUUGCGCAUUCUAAUUGCCUUUCUUUCUGCCUUUUCCUUCCCUCACUGUUCUCCUUGCCUUUGCCUUGCUGUUCCCUUGGGUUUUCUGCUUGCCUUCGCUUCACUGGGAUUGAGAGGCAGCGUUAAUGUUAAUCUUGACCUCAACCCCAAGCUUAAUGGGAGCUCUAAAGAUAAUUAUAUUAACCCACAAUGUGACUUCAAACCUAACCCUUAACCCAAUGCUGAAAAUGUCUCUAAUGCUCAAUGUAGCAAUAAAAACAGUGUCUGGAGAUUUCUAAGUAACCUUAAACCUAAUUGUAAUGUAAAAAACAAUUGUUGAACUAACCGUAACCUUAAUCCUAUAACUAGCUUAAAUUAUAACCCUAAUGCUGCUCAAUAUCAUUGUUAUAUCCUUAUCCUAAAAAUCCAGUAAAACUAAUCCAGAAAGAUACCGUAACAAAGAGUUACCUCAAUCCUAAAGAUAACCAAUGCCUCAACACUAAUACAACACUUAUUGUAAUUUUCCUCUUAAUUAAUGUUUGUAUAUUUCUAAAUAGGGUUUCAAUGCAAUUGUAAUGGUAAUAGCCCAAAUCUCUACUAAUGUUGACUGCAUGGACGACUCCUCCGAGUACGACGACUCCUUCGAAACGCCAGGACGGGGCUGGGGAGCCGCGCCGAUCCCAUCGGACGAGUUCUUCCCGCGGUCUCAGCUGUCACCGCGUGGCCAACCGCGGAACUACCGCUGCCUGCGCAUGGUGACCCAGGGAGCACGACGCAUG